AUGCGAUAAGUAAUGUGAAUUGCAGAAUUCAGUGAAUCAUCGAAUCUUUGAACGCACCUUGCGCUCCUUGGUAUUCCGAGGAGCAUGCCUGUUUGAGUGUCAU
rnacentral:rRNA from 1 species